ensembl:misc_RNA Metazoa_SRP Metazoan signal recognition particle RNA
GCUGGGUGCAGUGGGGUACACCUGUAGUCCCAGCUACUCGGGAGGCUGAGGCAGGGGAAUCACUUGAGCCUGGGAAGUUGAGGCUGCAGUGAACUAUGACUGUGCCACUGCACUCCAGCCUGGGCAACAAAGUGAGACUCUGUCUCAC